CAUCGACUCAGUCCGGGAUCAGCAGCUGAAUCAAGAUGAAGCUUCACUUUCUUCUCGGUAUUCUAUUGUCGACGGUAAUCAGUUUGGGGGAAAGCGAAAAAUGGGCUGAGCAGUCGGACAGGCAGUAAAGAACACAUGGACAUCUAAACCAGUGUCCUGGAAAUCCUCUUUUCCAGGCAGGAUCAACAUUUCUUUUAGUCUCAAUAAAAGAA